CAGCAGCCGCGGGAAUACGAGGGGGGCAAGCGUUGUUCGGAAUUAUUGGGCGUAAAGGGUGCGUAGGCGGUUUGGCAAGUCUUGUGUGAAAUCUUCGGGCUCAACCCGAAGCCUGCACGAGAAACUGCCGGGCUUGAGUAUUGGAGAGGUGAGUGGAAUUUCCGGUGUAGCGGUGAAAUGCGUAGAUAUCGGAAGGAACACCUGUGGCGAAAGCGGCUCACUGGACAAUAACUGACGCUGAUGCACGAAAGCUAGGGGAGCAAACAGGAUUAGAUACCCCCGUAGUCCCUGUCUCUUAUAC
rnacentral:rRNA from 1 species